UAUGGUCAAAUCACACUGAAAACACUGGUUCUUGUUUGAUCACAAAAGUUAAGCAACAUUAAGUUUGGCUAGUACUUAGAUGGGAGAUCACUUAGGAACACUG